rnacentral:lncRNA from 1 species
UGGUGGUUGAUGGUAGUGCUUUUUGUUUUGUUUUGUUGUGGGGCCUGGGGUUGAGGGAAAUGAUUUUUUUCCUACUCAAAAUGCACAACCAAAACAAUAAGGCUUUGCUGCUGGAAGAAAUGAAUAGUGUAGACAGAAAUGUGGACUAGGUGAAUAAAAAAAAAUGAGAGAAAUCAAUGGUGAUUUUUUUAUUUGCUCCGUUUUACCUAGUAUCGUCAUCUAGCACCAUCCAUCAGACAUUUCUUUGACACUUGAAAUUGUUUUUCACCUUUGAAAAACUCUCUGGUUCUUACUUUCUCCUUUGGGGGUGGGGAGUAGGCAAAGGGAGGAGCAUGACUGGGUAGAAGGAAGACUGGAUUUGGACAGAGUGAAAAUGAAUUUCAAUUUGUACUGAACGUUCUUGUGGAUCCAACUUUGAGUCAGUUUCAGUUUCUCUUUCUGUAGAGCCCCCUCCAAGUCGACUGCUUGCCUUACCGGAGGCAGUCUCUGGAGGCAGCAUUCAGGUUUGCAUUUAAAAAGCUACUUAGCACUGCUAUCCAGGAAUUCUGAGUUCUGUCCCAGCACCUGUUGCUCCGCGAGCCCACUGGCAGUUAAGGAACCAUGUGGCGGGAUCUGGGGUCAGAAGAAAUCUGGGCCAGGGCAACCAAGGCAGAGACCACUCUGAGCCUUGGUUUAUGUUAUCGAUUAUAGAGUCAUACGAACGCUGGAAAAAAAUGACUCUGAGCACUAGUGACACUGGUAUCACAAAAGAUAAACUAAUGGAGUUAGAUAAGACUUGGGAUCUGAUUCUUUCCGAGUACAAUGAGAUCUCUGAUUCCUCCAUAAACAUGGGGGAAGAAGAGGAAAACUCUAAUCAAACGGUUUGAAAAUAAUAUUGUAAGUGACAAGCAGAUAAAGUUAGAUGAUGAAAUCAAACUAUUGAAUGAGACAAAUUCGGUUCCUGUAAGAGAAAACAAAUGGUAUAAG